AGUGAACGCUGGCGGUAGGCCUAACACAUGCAAGUCGAACGGCAGCACAGUAAGAGCUUGCUCUUACGGGUGGCGAGUGGCGGACGGGUGAGGAAUACAUCGGAAUCUACUUUUUCGUGGGGGAUAACGUAGGGAAACUUACGCUAAUACCGCAUACGACCUACGGGUGAAAGCAGGGGAUCUUCGGCCUUGCGCGAUUGAAUGAGCCGAUGUCGGAUUAGCUAGUUGGCGGGGUAAAGGCCCACCAAGGCGACGAUCCGUAGCUGGUCUGAGAGGAUGAUCAGCCACACUGGAACUGAGACACGGUCCAGACUCCUACGGGAGGCAGCAGUGGGGAAUAUUGGACAAUGGGCGCAAGCCUGAUCCAGCCAUACCGCGUGGGUGAAGAAGGCCUUCGGGUUGUAAAGCCCUUUUGUUGGGAAAGAAAAGCAGCAGGUUAAUACCCCGCUGUUCUGACGGUACCCAAAGAAUAAGCACCGGCUAACUUCGUG
rnacentral:rRNA from 1 species